CCAGGCCGUCCCUGAACCCGGUCCGGUUUCCAAGUGGGACCCAGGCCGUUCCCGGAGCCGGUCCGGUUUCCAGGUGGGACCCAGGCCGUCCCCGGAGCCGGUCCGGUUUCCAAGUGGGACCCAGGCCGUCCCUGAACCCGGUCCGGUUUCCAAGUGGGACCCAGGCCGUUCCCGGAGCCGGUCCGGUUUCCAGGUUGGACCCAGGCGGUCCCUGAACCAGGUCCGGUUUCCAAGUGGGACCCAGGCCGUUCCUAGAGCUCACCCGGUUCCCAAGUGGGACCCCGGCCGUACCCGGAGCCGGUCCGGUUUCCAAGUUUGAUGCAGACUGGCUUCAGCUGGUUCUUGGACCUCCAAGUCUGAAGGCUCCUGACAGAAGCUGUCCUAGAGGGACUUACCGUGUCCUCCAGAGACAGCAAGAACGCUGCGCCUUCAAGGAGCUCAACAGCUCCUGCAACUGAGUUUCUCAUACUUGGAAAAUGGCAGAAGUCUUUCCUACAGAGUGCAGAAGUAAACCUUGCCAUGGGAGAAACAGCUUCCUGAUCAAGAUGUUUCCUCAGCCAGGGUCGACUGAAAAGUGCAUCCCAGCAAUAAGCGGACAUCUAUUUCCACGCAAUGUUUACCCAGUGAUCCUAGGUCUACCCGUUUUGGUGCCACAAAGUAUAUAGAAAAAUCUCUUGCUCAAAAUAAUUUUCAAAUUUAAGAAAGCUAUGACCAUGCCUCCCCUGGGCUUCCUCCAGACAAAACACCCUCUUUCCCUUCAAUAUUUCUUCAACUAUAUAGUUUUGGUUUCUCUUUAAAUCCUGUUUGUCUUUCAGUUUUUCCAUAUUCUUCCUGGGGUAUGGAAUUCAGAAUAAUUUUAACAACUACUAUUUACCUAUUCUGCUCAUUGUGUGACAUACUUUCAUUAACUGUUUUGUAAAAAAAAACAACCCACAGUUGAUAUUAUUACCUUAUGUUACUAGUGAGAAACUGAUACAAUGGUCAAGGACAUUAAUUCGUUCUGCAAUUGUUUAAGGAACUACUUUGUAUUAGGCCUUCCUCAAAGAGAUGGAGCUAAAAUAGUGAAUAAGGCAGAUUGCAUCCUUGCCUAAUGAAGUUUAUUAUUCUAGAGCAGAAGUUAACCAACUAUCACCCAUGAGCCAAACUCAGCACUUGUCACCUGUUUUUGUAAAUAAAGUUCUAUUGGAACACAGA